rnacentral:rRNA from 1 species
GCUUGUCUCAAAGAUUAAGCCAUGCAUGUCUAAGUAUAAACUGCUUAUACUUUGAAACUUUUAAUGGCUCAUUAAAUAAGUUAUUGUUUACUUGAUGGUACCUACUACUCGGAUAACCGUAGUAAUUCUAGAGCUAAUGCGUGCGUAAAUCCCGACUCCUAGAAUGGACGUAUUUAUUAGAUUUAAGGCCAACCGAGCUUGCUCGUCUCUUCGCGAAUCAUGAUAACUUCACGAAUCGCAUGGCCUCGCGCCCGCGAUAUUUCAUUCAAAUUUCUGCCCUACCAAUUGGCGAUGGUAGGAUAGAAGCCUACCAUGGUGUUAACGGGUGACGGGGGAUUAGGGAUCGAUUCCGGAGAGGCAGCCUGAGAAACGGCUACCACAUACAAGGAAGGCAGCAGG